CCCCGGGCGUAAGGGAGCGAAAUUAGAGUAGCGAAGUCCGCGAUGUUCGGAGGCGAGAAAAGCUCUGAGGUAUGCUAAGGUGCCCGUACCGCAAACCGACACAGGUAGAUGAGGAGAGAAUCCUAAGGCCAACGGGAGAAGGGUUGUUAAGGAACUCGGCAAAUUGACCCCGUAACUUCGGAAGAAGGGGAGCCCCCUACGGGGGGUCGCAGAGAAAUGGCCCAAGCAACUGUUUACCAAAAACACAGGUCUAUGCUAAAUCGAAAGAUGACGUAUAUGGGCUGACGCCUGCCCGGUGCCGGAAGGUUAAGAGGAGAUGUCAGGCAACGAAGCAUUGAAUUUAAGCCCCGGUAAACGGCGGCCGUAACGAUAACGGUCCUAAGGUAGCGAAAUUCCUUGUCAGGUAAGUUCUGACCCGCACGAAUGGCGUAAUGAUUUGGGCACUGUCUCAACAGCCCGCCCGGCGAAAUUGUAGUACUGGUGAAGAUGCCAGUUACCCGCAACUAGACGGAAAGACCCCAUGGAGCUUUACUGCAGCUUAAUACUGAAAUUCGGUAGUACAUGUACAGGAUAGGUGGGAGACUGAGAAAUACAGGCGGCAGCUUGUAUGGAGUCGCUGUUGGGAUACCACUCUUGUACUGCUGGGUUUCUAACCUGCGGCCGUGAAUCCGGUCGGGGGACACUGUUAGGCGGGCAGUUUGACUGGGGCGGUCGCCUCCCAAAAGGUAACGGAGGCGCUCAAAGGUUCGUUCAGCACGGACGGAAAUCGUGCAAUGAGUGUAAACGCAUAAACGAGCCUAACUGCGACACCGACGGGUGGAGCAGUAACGAAAGUUGGAGUUAGUGAUCCGGUGGUAUGUGAGUGGAAAUGCCAUCGCUCAACGGAUAAAGGCUACCCUGGGAUAACAGGCUGAUCUCCCCCAAGCGUCCACAGCGACGGGGAGGUUUGGCACCUCGAUGUCGGCUCGUCGCAUCCUGGGGCUGAAUUCGGUCCCAAGGGUUUGGCUGUUCGCCAAUUAAAGCGGCACGCGAGCUGGGUUCAGAACGUCGUGAGACAGUUCGGUCCCUAUCUGUUGCGGGCGUAAGAGAUUUGAAGGGAGCUGUCCUUAGUACGAGAGGACCGGGAUGGACGUACCUCUGGUGCACCAGUUGUCCUGCCAAGGGCAUAGCUGGGUAGCUAUGUACGGACGAGAUAAACGCUGAAAGCAUCUAAGCGUGAAACUCCCCCUAAGAUGAGAUCUCUCAUCCUUCAAGGAGUAAGGACCCAGAAAGACGAUCUGGUUGAUAGGCCGAAGGUGGAAGCGCAGUAAUGUGUGCAGCUGAUCGGUACUAAUAGUCCGAGGGCUUGACCU
rnacentral:rRNA from 1 species